AGUCCAGUCAAGCUUUUUGUGAAUAGUUUUUUUCUUAGGUAAAGGAGUAGAUCUAGAGGGCUCACAGGCACACAGGUGUGGUGAACUGGGAUUUUGGAUGCUGUUACUCCCUACUUUCACAUGUUCACCCAGGUUUGUUGAUGGUGGAGUGGCUGGGUCCCAGGGUGCCCUCAUGUCUGUAUUACCUUCUGGCUCUCAUUUUUAAUUAUGCUGUCAUAGCUAGUUUUGCCAGAGUCCCUGCUUGUAUUCACGCAAAAUACAUUGUCUUUAACCAUUUCGGGACAAUAAGCAUCGCUAAUAAUCUCUUUCCCUCUCUCUCCCCCUCUCUUUCUGUCGCGCUACACAUUAUACUACAUUUACAUUACAUUUAUUCACUUAGCAGACGCUUUUAUCCAAAGCGACUUACAAAUGAGAAAGAUACAAGCAAAGCGAUAUCAAGCAGAGAACAAUACAAGAAGUGUUACCAUACAAGAUCUAUUAAUUGAAUUCCAGAAGAAGCAAAGUGCAGAGUAGAGGUGUAAGUGCAUUUAUUUAUUUAUUUAUUUAUUUAUUUUAAUGAGUUGGUUAGGUGUUCAUAGAAGGGGUGGGUCUUUAGCUGUUUUUUGAAGAUGGUGAGAGAUUCUGUGGUCCGGAUUGAGAUUGGAAGUGCAUUCCACCACUGAGGAACAGUUAGUGUGAAGGUUCUGGAAAGGGACGCCACGCUGAGUUGGAACUGCUAAACGUCGGUCGCUAAUCGAUCGCAGAAUGCGAGAGGGAACGUAGGCCUUCAGGAGAGAGUUGAGGUAGGAGGGUGCUGUUCCUGACAAGGUCUUGUAGGUGAGCAUCAAGGCUUUGAACUUGAUGCGGGCAGCUACAGGAAGCCAGUGGAGGGAGAUGAAGAGGGGUGUGACAUGGGUUCUCUUGGACUGGUUGAAGACGAGGCGCGCAGCAGCAUUCUGAAUCAUCUCAAGGGGUUUGAUGGAGCUGGCUGGGAGAUACCAGUGAUACUGACCCCUUCUGCUCUCUGGACUUGCCUGAUCCAUCCUCAUGUCCUACUUCUGGUUGGAGUUCUCAUCAAUUGGAAGUCACAUGCUGCUUCUGAGGAUGGCCCCACAAUGGUGCAGCCU
ensembl:lncRNA